CAAUAAGCACGCUAUACACGUAAACUUUGCUUCCGUGCUUUUAUCUCGCGUUCUACAAAUGUUAUCAGGAUCUAGUGCUUGUAAGCACUUCGUAUUAGAGUUCAAUAUCAUGCGAAGUAUAACGGAGCUUAUCAAACUGUGUUCUUACGUUGUAUCUCGAUACAACAGGGACCGUCCGUCAAACGUUCUUGUCGCGCACAGCAGACAAGUUAAAGACUAUUGUGCGAGAGAGAGAGAGAGAGAGAGAGAGAGAGGCAGGACUGUAGGACAAGGAGAUAGAUUAUCUGACCGAUCGAAAUGGAAAGGGCAUCGGUUAAAAGCAAAUCGGAAGAUCCAAGUAGUUCGACCGUGUGCUAGAUGAGGAAGGAAAAGGAGGGGGGUAACUGGUGAAUAAAUUAUACAUUGAGAGAAGA
rnacentral:misc_RNA from 1 species